UACGGAAGGCGGCAGUGGGGAAUAUUGCACAAUGGGCGCAAGCCUGAUGCAGCCAUGCCGCGUGUAUGAAGAAGGCCUUCGGGUUGUAAAGUACUUUCAGUCGUGAGGAAGGUGUUAAGGUUAAUAACCUUAGCAAUUGACGUUAGCGACAGAAGAAGCACCGGCUAACUCCGUGCCAGCAGCCGCGGUAAUACGGAGGGUGCGAGCGUUAAUCGGAAUUACUGGGCGUAAAGGGCACGCAGGCGGUUAAUUAAGUUGGAUGUGAAAUCCCCGGGCUUAACCUGGGAAUGGCAUUCAAGACUGGUUAGCUAGAGUCUUGUAGAGGGGGUAGAAUUCCAUGUGUAGCGGUGAAAUGCGUAGAGAUGUGGAGGAAUACCGGUGGCGAAGGCGGCCCCUGGACAAAGACUGACGCUCAUGUGCGAAAGCGUGGGGAGCAAACAGGGAUUAGAUACC
rnacentral:rRNA from 1 species